GCGAAUGGUGGGUGAGCGGCGGGGGUAAUACUUGGGUGGCGAGCGUUGUCCGGAAUGGUUUGGGGUAAAGCGGGGGCGGGCGGCUUUUUAAGUCGGAUGGGAAAGCCCCCGGGUCAACCGGGGAGGGCCAUUGGAAACUGGGAGGCUUGAGUAUAGGAGAGAAGAGUUGAAUUCCACGUGUAGCGGUGAAAUGCGUAGAGAUGUGGAGGAACACCAGUGGCGAAGGCGACUCUUUGGCCUAUAACUGACGCUGAGGCGCGAAAGCGUGGGGAGCAAACAGGAUUAGAUACCCGAGUAGUC
rnacentral:rRNA from 1 species